rnacentral:rRNA from 1 species
AUUGAACGCUGGCGGCAUGCUUUACACAUGCAAGUCGAACGGUAACAGGGAGCUUGCUCCGCUGACGAGUGGCGAACGGGUGAGUAAUGCAUCGGAACGUACCGUGUAAUGGGGGAUAACGUAGCGAAAGUUACGCUAAUACCGCAUACGCCCUGGGGGGGAAAGUGGGGGACCGCAAGGCCUCACGUUAUACGAGCGGCCGAUGUCGGAUUAGCUAGUUGGUGGGGUAAAGGCCUACCAAGGCGACGAUCCGUAGCGGGUCUGAGAGGAUGAUCCGCCACACUGGGACUGAGACACGGCCCAGACUCCUACGGGAGGCAGCAGUGGGGAAUUUUGGACAAUGGGGGCAACCCUGAUCCAGCCAUGCCGCGUGAGUGAAGAAGGCC